rnacentral:lncRNA from 1 species
AGAUAUAACAAUCACUACAGCUUGUCUCUCAGGAAGCCACAUCCCUAGGAAAAAGGGGGAGAGCACUACAUCAAGGGAACACCCCAUGGGACAAAAGAAUCUGAACAGCAGCCUUGGCCGGGCAGGGUGGCUCAUGCCUGUAAUCCCAGCACUUGGGGAGGCCAAGGAGGGUGGAUCAUGAGGUCAGGAGAUCGAGACCAUCCUGGCUAACACAGCUGGAGAAUCCUGGACAAGCAGCCUUGCCCGGGACACCUGUCACUCCACUGGAGAAUCCUGGACACGCAGCCUUGCCCGGGACACCUGUCACUCCACUGGAGAAUCCUGGACACGCAGCCUCGCCCGGGACACCUGUCACUCCACUGGAGAAUCCUGGACACGCAGCCUCGCCCGGGACACCUGUCACUCCAAUGGAGAAUCCUGGACAUGCAGCCUUACCUGGGACAUCUGUCACUCCGAUGGAGAAUCCUGGACAUGCAGCCUUACCUGUGACACCUG